rnacentral:tRNA from 2 species
GCUUUUAAAGGAUAAUAGUAAUCCACUGGCCUUAGGAGCCAUUAAUCUUGGUGCAACUCCAAGUAAAAGCA